rnacentral:rRNA from 1 species
AUGUUUGCUUUGCUCGUACUUGCAAGGAUACUUGCCAUGAUAGUGAUGACCGAAGCACGAGCAUCUGCGGUUUUGAGAACCGUAGACGGGAACACCGCUCAGCCUCCGAACCGCUUGUUGGGUCGGUUAAGGACAAGGUCCCUCCAUGGCGACAGCACCGGCACGGGUUCUUCAAAUUUUACUCUCCCAUCUACUGGCAACUGUACAAGUAUAUGUGGUAACGUGACCUUCACCUACCCAUUCGGCAUAGAAGCUGGCUGCUCCAGGAAUUCUGACUUCAGUUUAGUUUGCAACCACACCACUCAUCCCCCAAAACUCUUCUUGGAUGAUGGUAGUACAACCGAGGUUGUCGCCAAUAUUGACGCCGGUGGCAUGACGCUGAAUGCUUUUCCGGUCAAUUUUUCUAAAACCAUCCCAAUGAAAUCUGAUGUCGAUGGCUACAACAUGUCAUGGACUCCGGGGAAUAGUUUUACCGUUUUCGAGUCGAUGUUCCUUACUAUCAUUGCUUGUGACUUGGAUGUGUAUUUGGUAGAUAAAGAUGUUGGUAAUCUUAGGUUGGUUUGUAAGGUAACCUGUCCCAGCAAAAAGAUUGCAGAGCAAGUGUACAGGCAGGAUCCUAGUGGGCCUGGGUCGUGCUCCGUACAUGCAGAUAUAUUUGUUCAUACCGUCGAGUUACAGUUUGUUCGCCACAAAACAAGUAAGAUGAAAACACAGUCUCAUCUCAGCAUCUUGUGGGAUACAAUCAACAUAAAUAUUGCGACAGAAAUUGGAUGGAGUAUCGUGGACCAAACGAACUGCUCCAGGAGCAUGAAAAAUAGCAAUUAUGCAUGUGUCAGCAAACACAGCGAAUGCACGGUUACUUUUCCUGAUGUUGGUUAUGUCUGCCGGUGCAAUAGCGGUUAUGGAGGCAAUCCGUAUAUCUCCGAUGGCUGCUCGCCUGACCACAAGUAUAAUUCAAGACCAAGAAAGGCGAAUUGUUCUCGACAGUGUGGGAAUAUCAGUGUCCCAUUUCCUUUCGGCAUAGAAGAAGGCUGUUCUGCGAGGAAAACUUUUCAGCUCGACUGCUCAGACACUACAGUACCCAUUCUCCGGGAUUAUGGCGGCCUCAUGGAUGUGACAUACAUAAAUGUCAGUGAGGGGCUUCUGGGAAUCAAAUAUGACUCAAGUUUUGGGGAGGAGAUAUUUAACACCAUAUUGCAACCUUCAGAACUUCAAGAACCAACCCUGUAUGUUGAUCCCCUGGAAUCAGCUUCGGUGAGAUGGGCUGUUGAUGAUCUUACAUGCCAAGAAGCCAAAAAAAACUCCUCUGGAUAUGCGUGUGUAAGUAUCCAUAGCUCCUGCCUGGGUGUCAUCAGCUCCAACAAAAGUUAUGUUGGAUACAGGUGCGCAUGCUUGCACGGUUUUGAAGGAAAUCCAUACAUCCCAGAUGGUUGUGAAGAUGUUGAUGAGUGCAAACGGACACCAGGACUUUGCAAAGGGAAUUGCCAGAACACUAUGGGAAACUACACCUGCACCAAGUGCCCUGAUCAUACAGAAUAUGAUAUUACAAAAAUGCAGUGCGGUCCAGUAAGAAAGCAAAAUAUCUUCUUAGGUAUUGUAACUGGGCUUAGCAGUGGCUUUGGCAUGUUACUAUUUGGGGUAAGUGCAAUAUUUCUCAUUCGAAGAUGGAAAAGAGAUGUCCAGAAGAAACUAAGAAGGAAGUAUUUCCGGACGAACAAGGGCCUUCUCUUACAACAGUUGAUAUCAGCAGAUCAAAAUGCGAGUGAGAAUACUAAGAUUUUCUCAAUAGAAGAGCUUAAAAGGGCAACAAAUAACUUUGAUCCUGCACGCAUCCUUGGACGCGGAGGGCAUGGCACGGUCUUCAAAGGGAUCUUAUCAAACCAGCAUGUGGUAGCCAUAAAAAAAUCCCAGAUUAUCAGGGAAGGUGAGAUCAGCGAUUUUAUCAACGAGGUUGCAAUCCUCUCUCAGAUAAACCACCGGAAUAUCGUGAAACUUUUCGGGUGCUGUCUUGAAACUGAGGUCCCCUUACUAGUGUACGACUUCAUUCCCAAUGGUUCAUUAUUUGAAAUUCUCCAUCAUGAUCCUAGCAACAUAGUUUCUUUGGCAUGGAAUGACUGUCUUCGAAUAGCAUCAGAAGUUGCGGGUGCUCUGUGUUAUCUCCACUCUGCAGCCUCGAUUUCAAUCUUCCAUCGUGAUGUGAAGUCCUCUAACAUACUCCUGGACGCGAACAAUGCUGCAAAGGUUUCGGAUUUCGGCGCUUCAAGAACUGUCCCCAUUGAUCAAACUCAUCUUGUCACAAAUGUGCAAGGCACAUUUGGCUACCUAGAUCCAGAAUAUUACCAUACUAAGCAGCUAAAUGAGAAGAGUGACGUUUACAGUUUUGGUGUGGUACUCCUAGAACUUCUUAUCAGGAAAAAACCUGUUUUUACAGCUGAGUCGGGAAUGGCCGAGAGCUUGUGUAACUAUUUCCUCUCAGAGAUCAGGUCGAGGCAACCCAAAGAAAUAGUGGCUGCACAAGUUCUCGAAGAAGCGGCCGACGAAGAGAUCAACGGGGUUGCUUCUCUUGCGGAGAAGUGCCUGAGGCUAAAAGGUGAGGAAAGGCCUACAAUGAAGGAAGUCGAGACAACAUUGCAGCAACUCCGAAUGAAUUGGACGAAUUCAUCUCAGGCUGAUUCAGCCAUUGAGUAUGAGAUGCAAGGCCACCAGUCCAUGGCCAUGAACCUAGCCGGGAGAACUUAUCAUGUAACAUCUCAGCGUAACCAAAACGCGUGCUAUAGCUUGGAGCAGGAGUUCCUCGCAUCCGCUAGCCUGCCGCGCUAG